rnacentral:rRNA from 1 species
GCAGUCGAGCGGUAGCACAGAGAGCUUGCUCUCGGGUGACGAGCGGCGGACGGGUGAGUAAUGUCUGGGAAACUGCCUGAUGGAGGGGGAUAACUACUGGAAACGGUAGCUAAUACCGCAUAAUGUCGCAAGACCAAAGUGGGGGACCUUCGGGCCUCAUGCCAUCAGAUGUGCCCAGAUGGGAUUAGCUAGUAGGUGGGGUAACGGCUCACCUAGGCGACGAUCCCUAGCUGGUCUGAGAGGAUGACCAGCCACACUGGAACUGAGACACGGUCCAGACUCCUACGGGAGGCAGCAGUGGGGAAUAUUGCACAAUGGGCGCAAGCCUGAUGCAGCCAUGCCGCGUGUGUGAAGAAGGCCUUCGGGUUGUAAAGCACUUUCAGCGGGGAGGAAGGCGUUAAGGUUAAUAACCUUGGCGAUUGACGUUACCCGCAGAAGAAGCACCGGCUAACUCCGUGCCAGCAGCCGCGGUAAUACGGAGGGUGCAAGCGUUAAUCGGAAUUACUGGGCGUAAAGCGCACGCAGGCGGUCUGUCAAGUCGGAUGUGAAAUCCCCGGGCUCAACCUGGGAACUGCAUUCGAAACUGGCAGGCUAGAGUCUUGUAGAGGGGGGUAGAAUUCCAGGUGUAGCGGUGAAAUGCGUAGAGAUCUGGAGGAAUACCGGUGGCGAAGGCGGCCCCCUGGACAAAGACUGACGCUCAGGUGCGAAAGCGUGGGGAGCAAACAGGAUUAGAUACCCUGGUAGUCCACGCCGUAAACGAUGUCGAUUUGGAGGUUGUGCCCUUGAGGCGUGGCUUCCGGAGCUAACGCGUUAAAUCGACCGCCUGGGGAGUACGGCCGCAAGGUUAAAACUCAAAUGAAUUGACGGGGGCCCGCACAAGCGGUGGAGCAUGUGGUUUAAUUCGAUGCAACGCGAAGAACCUUACCUGGUCUUGACAUCCACAGAACUUUCCAG